AACNAACUCAUCUAAGACAGUAAUGGGAACCCUAUGGCUUUCAGGGUUUAAUUCAAGUCCUGUCAGCUCCAGUUGCUGUUGCUGGUGAUCAAGGAUGAUGCAAGAAGGAAUCCAGCAGCUUCUGAAGAUAACAUGGUGAAGUGAGUGUGAUUGCAAGCAGAGAUGUAAGAAACUAUUUUAUGGGAACCAGAAGAUCCAUGGCUGCAAACAGAUGUUUUCUGGGGGGCAUGCAUGCAUGAGGAACCAUCCUGGAGCAGAAAUUCUGGAAAAAAUGGACAGAACUAUAUGUGAGUUUAUAUUUCAAGCUAAGAAUUCUAGGAUACCCAAAACCUUGAUGCAGAUACUUGCCAACCAAGGACAUUGGGGGGGCUCAAAUUUAGAAGCGUAUUUUGAUGCAUUUAGGAUUACCCAAUUAAUACAUUUUAAUAGAAACGCUAAUAUAAAAUGGGCACAAAAUGAGUUAUCAAAGUGUCCAGAGUUAAAUCAACUCCAAUAUAUAAAUAAUUUUAAAAUUAACCAAGGAAAUAUGGAAAAUCCAAUUAUAUAAAAUGUUGUAAUGGGAUGGAUAAAAUGGCAAAAAAAAACCAACCCUAUUGCCUAUAUUAUCACCUCUGAUUUGGAGGAAGAAAUUACCAAAUAUG
rnacentral:lncRNA from 1 species